ACUGGUGGGAGCUUGGAAGGAGGGUAGAAGGGAGAAAGAAGCUGAUUUUAUUUCUCCUUCUGUUGAAGUCUCUGGCAGUGGCAGCAGUAGCAGCAGUGGCAGCAGCUGCGGCAAUAGCAGUAGCAGCGGCAGUAGGUGACUGAGUUUCUGCUCAGGUGGAGUUUCAACAGCAGUGGGGGCAGGGAGUGCUCUCGCAGCCUCUGCAGCAGGGCGUUCCUGGGCUCUGGAUCUGGCAGCAUCAGUGUCCGUGACAGGCAGCCCUUGGUGGGAGUUUAAUUUCUCGGCUUCCUGAAAGAUUUCCAAUAACGGCCGUGGAGCAGCAAGUAUCACAGCAGCUUCAGCCACCGAGCAAUCACCGACUCUUUGUGGAUCACACCAUAUUUCCUUUUGUUCAGCCAGCCUUAGGACGGGUAGUUUCCGUUCUGCUGACUGGACACUGUCCAGUAUACACGUUUAUAAGGCCCUGAAAGCAGCAGAUCUCACCUGCAUUGGAGGAUGAGACGCCACAUGAAGAAGAAAGAAGACGCCACAGACAGCAGCGCAGUACCACCUUCCAGAGAUGUGAGUGUGACCGUCUUUGACCUUCUAGCCCAGCUGCUUUCCCUGAAUGCAAUGCAUGAGCAGGCCAGGCAAAACUAGAGAGGGAAGCUGCCCAGCUAACCCACAGAAUUAUGAGAGAUAAAAAAUCAUUGUCUUAAGCCACUAAGUCUGUUAUGCAGCAAUAUAUAGCAUUCAUUCAACUUUUGUCUCAUGAAUACUCUCAUUUCUUUUAUAAGUUCUUUUGUGGUUCAAAUUAGCUCAAAUCAGUUUCUGAUGCUUAUGACCAAAUGCCCCUAUGUGAUAGAUUUUGAGGGGUUAAGAAGCUUGCUCGGAUCACACAGCGGUAAGUAGCAGCACUUCAUCUUUAACCCACCUCUGGCCCACUCCCUUUCCAUAGGUCCUUGUUGCCUCCCUCCCUAAUCCCUUCCAGUCUAGUUUCCUCACUCAUUUUAGCAUCUUGAAGAUGCCUGACCUUUUGUAACAGGCACUUAGAAGAGGCAAUAAUCAAGCUGUGAGCUGGAAUACUGGGUUUCUCAUCCAAUAACCAGGUUGGCAGGUUGGUAACCAUACAAGGGACUUUUCAAACUGGAGAAUUAGUGUGCUGAGCACAAAGUGGUGAGUAUUUUGAGAGUUACUGAAAUAUAAUUGACAUAACAAUAAAAAUACAAUAUUUAAGUGCAUGUAUUUCAAGUGUACGAUUUGACAAGUUUGGUUAUAUUAUAUACACCUACGAAACCAUCACCACAAUUAAGAAAAUGAGCAUAGCUAUCACACACAAAAGUUUCCUUGUGCCCCUUGGUAAUUCCUCCCUCUCUCCUGCCCACAUCUCUCCUUUUCCCAGGCAAUCCCUGAUCUGAUUUCUGCCGCUAUCAAUUCGUUUGCAUUUCCUAGAAUUUUAAAUAACUGAAAACAUACAUUAAGAACUCUUUUUCUCUGGCCGAGUAUGGUGGCUCACGCCUGUAAUCCCAGCACUUUGGGUGGCCAAGGCGGGCAGAUCACCUGAGGUCAGGAGUUCGAGACCACCCUGGCCAACGUGGUGAAACCCUGUCUCUACUAAACAUACAAAAAUUAGCCAGGCAUGGUAAUGGGCAUCUGUAAUCCCAGCUACUCGCGAGGCUGAGGCAGGAGAAUUGCUUGAACCUGGGAGACAGAGGUUGCAGUGGGCUGAGAUCACGCCACUGCACUCCAGCAUGGACAACAGAGCGAGACUCCGUCCCCAAAAAAGAAAAAAAAAAAGAACUUUUUUUUCUCCAGCUUCUCCCACUUAGCAUAAUUAUGUUGAGAUUCAGCCAUGUUUUCCUGUGGAUCAAUAAUUUAUUUCUUUAUAUUGCCAAGUGGUAUUCCAUCGUAUGUAUAUACCAUAGUUUGUUUAUCCAUUCAACCACUGAAAGACAUUAGGGUUGUUUUCUGUUUUGGGUUAAUAAAACAAAGCUUCUGUGAACAUUUAUCUACAAGUCUUUGUGUGGAUAUAAGUUUCCAUUUCUCUUAGGUAAAUAUCUAGGGUCAUAAAAUAAGUAUAUACCUAAAUUUUGAAGAAACUACCAAACUAUUUUACAAAAUGGUUGUAUUAUUUUACCUUUUUGCCAGCCAUAUAUGAGAGUGUCAAUUCCUUCACAUUCUUGUCAAAACUUGAUGUGUUCAGUCUUUUUAAUUUUGACCAUUCUAAAAGCAUGUAAUGGGGCCGGGCACAGUGGCUCACACCUGUAAUCCCAGCACUUUGGGAGGCCGAGGCGGGCAGAUCACGAGGUCAGGAGAUCGAGACCAUCCUGGCUAACAUGGUGAAUAAUACUAAAAAUACAAAAAAUUAGCCGGGCAUGGUGGUGGAUGCCUGUAGUCCCAGGUACUCAGGCGGCUGAGGCAGGAGAAUGGCCUGAACCCAGGAGGCAGAGCUUGCAGUGAGCUGAGAUUGCGACACUGCACUCCAGCCUAGGUGACAGAGCGAGACUCUAUCUAAAAAAACAAAACAAAAAUGAAAAAAAAAAACACACAAAAACAUGUAAUGGUAUCCCAUUGUGGUUUUAACUCACAUUACUGUCAGAGGCAUUGGAACCAGAGUGACUCCAUCUUGAGCAGAGGCUAGAUAAAAUAAAGCUGAGACCUUCUGGGCUGCAUUCCCAGGAGGUUAGGCAUUCUUAGUCACAAGAUGAGAUAGGAAGUUGGCACAAGUUACAGGUCACAAAGACCUUGCUGAUAAAACUGGAUGCAGUAAAGAAGCUGGCCAAAACCCACCAAAACUAAGAUAGUGAUGAAAGUGACCUCUGGUUGUCCUUACUGCUCAUUAUAUGCUAAUUAUAAUGCAUUAGCAUGCUAAAAGACACUCCCACCAGUGCCAUAACAGUUUACCAGUGCCAUGGCAACAUCAGGAAGUUACCCUAUAUGGCCUGAAAAGGGGAGGAACCCUCAGUUCCAGGAAUUGCCCACCUCUUUCCUAGAAAACUCAUGAAUAAGUCACCCCUUGUUUAGCAUAAAAUCAAGAAGUAACAAUAAGUAUAAGCAGCUGAGCGGCCCAUGCUGCUGCUCUGUCUAUGGAGCAGCCAUUCCUUUAUUCCUUCACUUUCUUUGUUUUUUGUUUUUUGUUUUGUUUUUUUGUUUGUUUUGAGACAGAGUCUCACUGUGACACCUAGUUUGGACUGCAAUGGCGCGAUCUUGGCUCACUGAAACCUCCGCUUCCCAGGUUCAAACGAUUCUCCUGCCUCAGCCUUCCGAGUAGCUGGGACUACAGGUGUGCACCACCAUGCCUGGCUAAUUUUUGUAGUUUUAGUAGAAAUGAGGUUUCGCCAUAUUGGCCAGGCUGUUCUUGAACUCCUGACCUUAAGUGAUCUGCCUGCUUUGGCCUCCCAAUGUGCUGGGAUUACAGGCUUCAACCACUGAGCCUGGCCUACUCCUUUGCUAUCUUAAUAAACUUGGUUUCAGCUUACUUUAUGGACUCGCCCUAAAUUCUUUCUUGUGCAAGGUCCAAGAACCUUCUCUUGGGGUCUGCAUCAGGACCCCUUUCUGCCCUUUCUGGUAACAGUACCAUAAUAACAAAUAUUAUCGAGCAUAUUUUCAUGUAAUUAUUUGCAACUUGUAUAUCUUCUUUGGUAGAGUGUCUGUUAGAAUAUUUUGUCUAUCUAAAAAUUGGGUUUGUUUUCUUAUUAUUGAAUUUUGAGAGUGUGUUAUAUGUUCUGGACACAAGCCCUUUAUCAGAGAUAUGGUUUGCAAAUAUUUUCUUCUAGUCUGUGACUUUUCUCUCUUAACAAUGUCUUUUGAAGAGCAGGUGUUUUAAAUUUUGAUGAAGUCAGAUGUAUCAAUUUAUGAUUUUAAUAAAUCAUGCUUUUAGCAUAGUAUUUAAGAUACUUAACCCAAGGUCACAAGAGUUUUCUUUUAGAAGUUUUAGUUUUAGGUUUUGCAUUUAGGUAUAUGAUCCAUUUUGAGUUAGUUUAUAUACAUUGUGCAAGGUAAGGACUGAGGUUUUUAAUUUUUGCAUAUAGAUUACCACUUGUGCCAACCUCACUGUUGUGAUGAUAUGAUAGAAAUCACUGUCUUUUCUCCACUGACUUGCUUUUGCAUCUUUGUAAAAAGUUGGUCAUGCCAAUGAAACUGACCCAAUUUUCCCAUAGAACUGAUGGGAAAAACUGUUUACAGUUUUGUUGUUGUUUUUUGUUUUUGUUUUUGUUUUUAAUGAACAUUGAAGUGGACUCUCCAGGUUUUAAAGCUUGAGAAACUUACAUUUGUCUUAUCUGAGUUUAUUUCUCAGGAAACCAGCUGUCAGGCCUCCCAGAUAGUAUCAGAAAGCUGAAGAUUUCCAGAUCGCUGCAUCCUAACAGCAAGGUGCCAGAACCCUGAUUCAACUACCUACUGCCUGUUGAGCAACUCCUACAUAAACUCCUAACUUUAUUGGUUACAGAGACAGAUUUUAGACUUGUCUCCCAUAUCCUGGCUGGCAUCACCAGCAAUAAAGCCUUUCUUCCUGGCAGUACUUGUUGUCUCAGUGAUUGGCUUUCUGUGUGGUGAGCAAUCAGACCUAAGCUGAAUCCCUGGCAUUCACCAACACAUAAAUGUGCAGUUCUGUUUCUGGACUCUCUCUUCUGCUUCAUUGAUCUGUUUUUCUAACUUUAUGCCAAAAUUGCACUAGUUUGAUUACUGUUCCUUUAUAAUAAGCUUUGAAAUAAUGUCAUAUUAGGCCUCCAACUUUGUUCUUCUUUUUGAAAACUGUUUUGGCUAUUUUAGGUCCUUGCAUUUCCAUAAAAGUAUUAGAAUCAGCUUAUCAAUUUCUCCAAAAAAAAAAAAAAAAGCCUACUGAGAUUUUGAUUGGGAUUGCACUGGAUUUAUAGACCAUUUUGGGGAGAACUGACAUCUUAACAAUAUUGAGUCUUCCUCCCAUGAACAAAGUAUAUUUCUUUAUUUGUUUAGGUCUUCUUUAAUUUUUCUCAACGAUGUUGUAUGGUUUUCAGUAUAUAGAUCUUUCAGAGUUUUGUCAGAUUAAUUCUUAAGUAUUUAAUAUUUUUGACCUAAUUGUAAAAGGUAUUAUUUCUUUCCGUUUCAAUUGCCAAUGGGUUAUUGCUAAUAUAUAGAAAUGCAAUUGAUUUUGCCUAUAACUUUGCUAAUAGUUCUAGUAGCUUUUUCAUGUGAAUUCCAUUGGCUAGUCUACAUAGCUCACUGACGCUCUGUUCAUUAAAAGAAUUUUUUCCCUCUGAGUUUCCUUUUAGGUAGCGUCUUUUGCUAUGAUUUCAAUUUCACUUUUUUCCCCUUCUUCAAUAGCUAAUCUGCUACUAAUCCUAUAGUGUUUUUUUCAUCUCAAUAUUGAACUUUCCAUCUGUAGAUGAUUUGAGUCUUUUCUAAAUCUUCCAUGUCUCUAUUUGACCUUUUAAACAUAUAGAAUACAGCUAUAGUAACUGUUUUAAUGUCCUUUUCUGUUUAUUCUACUGUCUGUGUCAGUUCUGGUUUGAUUUCAGUUUAUUGAUUAUUCUCUUCAUUAUGGCUAGUGUUUACCUCCUUCUUUUCAUGAUGAGUAAUUUUUUAUUUGAUGCCAGCCACUAUAAUUUUAUCUUGUUGGGUCUUGGGUUCUUUGCAAUCUUAUAAGUGUUCUUCAGCUUUGUUCUGCAAUACAGUUAAGAUACUUGGCAACACUUGAAUACUUAAAGUCUUGCUUUUAAGAUUUUUUAGGUGGUACUACAGCAGUGCUCAGUUUAGGCAUAAUUAUUCCCCACUACUAAGUUAAGACCCUUCUGUGUACUCUAUUUAUUGCUUCAUGAAUCAUGGUCUUAAAUGUGGCUGGUAAGAAUAGGUACUAUUUCUAGCUGUGUCCGAGUAUCAGACAUUGUUUCUUCUAAUCCACUCAGGUGGUUCUUUUGGCCUUGGGUAAUUUUCUGUCAUGCAUGCACAAAUCAAUACUCAGAAGAAUACUUAAGGAGGUCCCUCUGCAAAACCCUAGAACUCUGUGUGCACAAAUCUCUCCUCUCUGGGAACCUGCUUGUGAGUUCUCACUGCUGUGGUUUUUCCAACCUUCAACUCUGUCUCCCCAACUCAGGGAGGCCUUGGGGCUCCACCAGGGUUCCCUCUCCCUAUAUCUUAGCCUCAAAACUCUUUCACAGUAGUAAAUUUUGGCCACUGUAUGGAUGACAUUAUUUAUGUCUCAUCUCUUAAGUAUCAAAGUAUCAUUAUCCUUAAUUGCCUGGUGUCCAGUACCUUAAAAUUGCUAUUUAAUAUAUUUUGCUUUUUUUUUUUUUUCAGGGAGGAGGGUAAAUCCAAUCCAUCUUGAAUGAGCAUAUGUAUUAGUUUUUAUGCUCCUGAUAAAGACAUAGCUGAGGCUGAGCAAUUUACAAAAGAAAGAGGUUUAAUAGACUUAUAGUUCCUUAUGGCUGGGGAGGCCUCACAAUCAUGGCGGAAGGCAAGAAGGAGCAGGUCACAUCUUACGUGGAUGGCAGUAGGCAAAGAGUUUGUGCAGAGAAACUCACAUUUUAAAACCAUCAGAUCUCCUGAGACCCACGAGAACAGCACAAGAAACAGCACGGGAAAGACGUGCCCCCAUGAUUCAACCAUCUCCCACUGGGUCCCUCCAACAACAUGUGGGAAUUAUGGGAGCUACAAGAUGAGAUUUCGGUGGGGACACAGAGCCAAACCAUAUCAGGGUAGAAUGGUAUUAAAGAAAAAGAUUUUCUUACACUUAUUAAGGCAGUAAGAAAGAUUUAUUCAAGAUUAUUGCAAUAGGUAUCAAGACUGUGCAAUAGGAGACAGGAAAUGGUUGAGCUCAACUCUGAAUACAGCAAAAACCACUGGAGGUUUUUAGCCAGUGAGCAGAAUGGGAGGAGAAGAGUCAGUGGAUGGAAAAUUACUAAGAGGAGAAAUCAAAGGUGGGAGGAUUUUCCCUAAACUGACUUAGCAGGACUCUUGUUACAAUUGGACUAGGCAGGCUGAAGACAGGAUGCAAGGACAAAGCUUGUUGAAAAGAGGCCUCAGAGGAGCUCAUCUAAAAUUUGGUCAAGGGGAGGGUCUUUCUUGGUCCCUCCUCUUGUUCAAGGGAAAAAGAGACAUUCUUCUUUCCUUUGAACAAUAUAAGUCAAUUUCUCAUUUGGUGGCCUUUUUUUCAUUAAGGACAAGCUGAGCCCCCUGCUGAAACUUGGUAGCAGGGCAGCCAGUUGAGAAGAUUUCUAGAUGUCAAGGCAUCUUUAGAUGAUGGGGUGAGGACUGCAGUGGCCAUCCCAGAUCAUGGAUUUUCUGGUUUGCAGUUUGAAUGUCCUUGGUGAUGGCAUAGACAUCAGUGUCACAGUCAUGGUUAUUUUUCCGAGCAGAGUGUAGAAGUGUCCAACUUCAUCUUGAAGGGCUUCUUUAGACAGUCACAAUAAAGAUCUGGGAAGUUAGGUUUUAGUUCUCAGUGAUGCCAAAUCAGGACAGUGGGAGAAAAAUUAAAAACCUCAGUUUGGAGAGUGGUAGCCAGAUAGUAAAGGGAACUAGAAGAACUGAGAAUUUGGUAAGGACUGACAAGCUGUGCAUGAUGACAGGAUCCCGUUCAAUUUACAAGUAGAUAACAAAACCUGAAAGACAAGUACAGGACCAGAAUAAUAACCCAUAAGAAGGUGCUAUAGUUUUUAUAAAAUAUCUUUCUACAGUCAUCCCCCUUUUUUGAUCCAAAUUAACCAAAGUAAGAUUAUUCUUGUUUACAAAAUAAGUCUUGUCUCAUUAUAUUUGACUUACUUAUUUGCAUAAUUGCAGCAAGAAUGGCAACUGACCAGGUAGGCUUAUUUAAGUUUGCAUUGCUGGAACUUUUUACAAGUAAUCUCAGAUUAUGCUUUCAAGAGUUCUUGAAGCUAUAAAGCCAAGUCAAGCACCACCAGGCCUUAUCUGCAAUGCCUAGAGAUUCAGAUGGGUUCUUCUCUUCUUGAGGUCCUAAAAACAUCCUGAGUUUCUUUGGCCUGCCAGAAAGUCACCUUCCUGACUCACCUGUAAGGCUGGGAACUCCAUAAUCCAGGUACCAGGCAGACUUUCCGGGAGGGCUUCAUAUGCAUUGGCUCCAUAAAGUUAACCUUAGUUCCUCAAAACUGUCUGUUCAUAUGUGAUUUUAUGUCUUAUUCUCAGUUGGAAAUGCAGAAAUCACCUGUCUUCUGCGUCGAUCAGGCUGGGAGCUGCAGACCGGAGCUGUUCCUAUUCGGCCAUCUUGGAAUGGACCCCCAUGUCUUAUUCUCAAAUAAAACAUUUUGGUCAAAGCCUUGAUUAUCUAAUCAAUUUUUAAAAUUAUGUUCUGUUACAAAAAGGACAGAUUCUUAUCGAACCCAUAUAAAAUAGUAUAUCACCAUUGAUACGGUUUGGAUCUGUGUCCCCACUCAAAUCUGAUGUUCAAUUGUAAUCUCCCAGUGUUAGAGGUGAG
rnacentral:lncRNA from 1 species